GUCCUCCAGUGAUGGAGGUAUGCCCUGGGAGGCCAAUGACUGAACUGGGAUGUAUUCAUACUGUCUGAUGGGC